AAUCCAAUUGGAAUAAUAGUCUAAAUAAUGAAUACCAUUAAUGAAUAUAUAUGAUGUCCCUAAUAGUAUUCUUUUAACCGAGAUUCUAUAAAUUUUAGUGCCAUGAGAAAAGCUCGCUGGAACUCCGCACGAUCAUGACUCAUGCACCAUUCGACACGGCUGGGCUGGAAUCAUUUUAAACCAUGCUUCCAGAGAAUGAUCUCCGUUUUCUGCCCAAGGGGAUGAAGAAAUGCGCGUUUGGAUUGCAAUCCACAAAGCUUCCGCGUGUGUUGUAGAUGAUGUAAAUAAGUCAAGUGGGAUUCUGCAAGCCAAGCUCGCUCUAACUCGUAUGAUUAUGACUCAACUCUACUCGAUUUGGUUGGAAUCCUUUACAAUGCCAACACAUAAAAUUUGUGUGAAAUAUAUCUAUAUAUACUUAUAAAUUAAUAAAACUGAGUCAGACUUUUCUGCAUAAUAUGUCAACCUUUAGCUGAUUUUCCAGCUGCAAAGUGAUGAAAAUUUUGGUAGCCUGACUUUUUUCCCCAAUGUAAAUCUGAUGCCUAUCAUCUUUUACAUAAUAAUGCUUAAUGUAUUCCAAUUUCAAUGUGAAGUCCAUUUGUCUUUAACCAAGCUUAAGCGCCAUUUUUAUGUUUAGAUGCAUCUGUUUGUACUAUAAAUAUCAAUUUUCACUAGUGCUUCUAUAGAGGAUGAAUCAUCUAAUAACAUAAGUGUCUUUGGUCUAACAAUUUUUAACGACAUAUAUUCAAAAGUUUCGUUUGGCAAUUUAAUUGUUGGAAGUAAGUAGUUUGUUCUCAUCUUUUUCUUCUUUUAUUCAUGUUUUUAAAAUCUUGUCGUACCAGAUUGAUUUAGAGGCUUGUUGAAAGAAGAAGAAGAAGAAGAAGAAGAAGGUUACAAAGAAGGCGGUACAACUUUGCAAUGAAAUUCAGGGAAAAAGCUAAAGUGAUAGCAGGGAAGGCAUUCAAGAGGUUUGAUAUGGAGUUGAGUGUCAUUUUGUAACUGCUUCUGCGCAUAAAGAUGUGCAAAAGAUAUUCCUGUAUUUCUUGAUUGUAUUGGUUUGAAAAUUCAGGCCACCCAAAAUCAUGGAUCAAUAACAUAAUUGCAUUGAAAUAGUGUUGAACCUUUAAUUAGGUAAUGACAAGGAAUGUUGAUGAAAUUCAUCCAUUGCUCUGUUGAACUGCAAGUAUAGGUGUCUUGAGAUUGAUUUGAUGGCUUCUAUAAGAGAAAGUUGUUUAAUUUAAUGUGCGAUUUGGGUAAAGUGUCAUUGACAUAAUAGUAGUUAAGUUGAUAAUUGAUUCUAGUAGAUUUUUGUGUUUGAACAUGGGAUCAACAAUAUGGGGAGAAUUAUAAAGUAUCUGUAUCUCGAAAGGUACAACAGCUCAUGUUAUCUUAAGACGUUUGAAAUGAUGCUGCUAAUAGUGAGUAUGAAUGUAUCAUAGAAUUAAAUAGUUAAGGCAACAUGAACAUGUAUAGAUCAUACCUCAUUUAAGUUAAACUUGUCAAGAAAAGGAUGCCUACUACAUAAAAAAUUUAUUUCCUCUACAAGGAAAGGAUUGUUUGCUGCUGCCCUCGCCGAGACAAUAAAAGGAGACAAGGAGGAGCUGAUGCAGUUCGGGCCGAGGAGACAAAAACUCGGAAAAUCUCAGGAUAAGGAGGUCAGAGCCGAAGUCAGGGUAAAUUGAUCAAGGUAUCGAGGCUCAAGCUGAGAAGCAGCCGAGGCAUCAGGUCGAAGAAGCGAUCGAGUCAAGGGCUGAGGCGAGUCGAGGAAAUCGAAGUUGAGCUAAGGCUCGACGAGUUUUGGUCCGUUGAUGGUGAAGGGUGUCGACGCGGCGACAUUGAGUUGUGUCGUAGGCUGGAGUGGUGAAGGAGAUCACGGCGUGACUAUGGCAGUUGUAGUCGUAGGAAAUCGAAGGAAUGAAGAAGAUUUAGAGAGAAUGUGGCCGAAGGCGGCGAUGGCACUGGGAAUCGAAGGAUGCGGCGGUGGCCUUUGGGGUAGUGUUUAUAUAUAUAUAUAGAGGUGCACUAAAAUAAAAACCAAGAUUAGCCUAUAAAAUAAGAGCCAAUGUAGGCCAUUGGAUUAUCUUAAUUGGACGGUCAGGUCUUGAUUUAAUUUUCUCUAGCUAAUUAACGUCAAUUUAGGUAAUAGGGUAGAUAUGUAAUUACAUAAUUCUAAUAACCACCUCACCCUUAUUAUAAGGGAUUACAUUUAAACCAAGAUUUAACAUUCCCUAAUAUAAAAUCUGUGUAACUAAUACAUGUUCCAGAAGGAGAAAAAUAAGAAAACCCUGCCAACAGAUUCAAGAACACGCCCAGAAAUUCAUGGAGGACACUAAUACGCAAUUUCACUAUUCACAAUUUAUAGAUAUAAUUCAUAUAUUUUUUUCACUAUGUUGACAUAGUUCAUGGGUUAUGUGGUAUUGUUCACUCAACAAAUAUACUACGACUAANCAUGUCCCUACUGCUUAUGAAAGAGCUUAAAGCUCACUUAUCGUGUGGCUUAUGAAAGAGCCUAAAGCUCACUUGCCCUUGUUACUUAUAAAAGAGCAUAAAGCUCACUUGCCCAUGCUGCUUAUUGAAAAACUUAAAGCUCACUUGUCCCUGUCAUUUGUAAUAGAACUUGAAGCUCACUUAUCCUCAUUGUUAAUUGAAGAGCUUAAAGCAGAAAGCUCACUUGUCCCUGCUGCAUAUUAAACAGCAUAAAGCUCGCGUGUCCCUGUGGCUUAUAGAAAAGCUUGAAGGUUAGUUGUCCCAGUCUCUUAUAGAAGAGUUUAAAGCUCACGCUCCCUGUUGCUUAUAAAAGAGAUUAAAAUAAUCUUGUCCAUGUCCCUAAUAGAACAACUUAAAGCUCACAUAAAAGAGCAUGUAGCUCACGUGUCCAUAUGGAUAUAAAAUAGCAUAAAGCUGAACGUUUCCUUCCCAUUUAUGAAAAAGCUUAGAGGUCACUUGUCCCUCUCGCUUAUAAAAGGGCUUAAAGCUCACGUGUCCCUGUUGUUUAAUAAAGAGCUUAAAGCUGACUUUUCUCUGCCACUCGUACAAGACCAUAAAGCUUACUUGCUCGUGCCGCUUAUAAAAGAGCGUAAAGCUCACUUGUCGCUGUGAUUUAUGAAAGAGUUUUAACGCUCACUUGUUCCCAUCAUUAAUUAAUGAGCUUGAAGCAUAACGUUCACGUGUCCCUGCCUGCUUUUUAAAGAGCAUAAAGCCCACUUGUCCUUAUGGAUUAUGGAAAGCUUAAAGGUUGCUUGUCCCUGUCUCCUAUAGAAGAGUUUAAAGCUCAUGUGUCCAUGUUGCUUAUAAAAGAGAUUAAAAUAAACUUGCCCUGUCGCUAUAAAAGAGCUUGAACGCUCACGUGUCCCGAUGUUGAUUAUAAAAGAGCUUAAAGCUCACUUGUCCUCGUCGCUUGCAAAAGAGCUUAAAGCUCACUCGUCCCCCUCCCUUACCCCCGCGCGCUUAUGAAAGAACUUAAAUGCUCGCAUGUCUCUGCUGCUUAUAGAAGAGCUCAAAGUUCUGGGGUCUGUGUAUAUAAAAGAGCUUAAAGCUCAUGUGUCCCGGUUGCUUAUAAAAGAGCUUAAAGCUCACUUGUCCCUCACGUUUAUAAAAAAGAGCAUAAAGGUCACAUGUCUUUAUCGCUUCUUAAAGAGCUUAAAGCUGACUUGUCCCUAUGGCUUAUAAAAGAGCUUGAAGCUCAUUCGUCCUGCUGCUUGUAAAAGUGUAUGAAGCUCACGUGUCCCUGUGGCUCAUAAUUGUCCCUGUAGUUUAUAAAAGGGCUUAAAGCUGAAUGCUCAUGUGUCCUAUUGGCUUAUAAAAGAGUUUAAGGCUCACGUGUCCCUUCUUUUCACAGAAGAGUUUAGUGCUCAUGUGUCCCUCUUACUUACAAAAAAGCGCAAUGCUCAUGUGUCACUCCUAAGCAAGAGCUUAAUGCUCACAUGUCCCUGGUGCUUAUAAAAGAGCUUAAAGCUCAUGUGUCCCGGUUGCUUAUAAAAGUGCUUAACACUCACGUGUCCUUGCUUAAAAAAGAGUUUAAUGCUCACCAUUCAACACGGCUGGGCUGUAAUCAUUUUAAACCAUGCUUCCAGAGAAUGAUCUCCGUUUUCUGCCCAAGGGGAUGAAGAAAUGCCCGUGUGGAUUGCAUGCCACAAAGCUUCUGCGUGUGUUGUAGAUGAUGUAAAUAAGUCAAGUGGGAUUUUGCAAGCCAAGCUCGCUCUAACUCGUAUGAUUAUGACUCAACUCUACUCGAUUUGGUUGGAAUCCUUUACAAUGCCAACCUAUAAAAUUUGUGUGAAAUAUAUCUAUAUAUACUUAUAAAUUAAUAAAACUGAGUCAGACUUUUCUGCAUAAUAUGUCAACCUUUAGCUGAUUUUCCAGCUGCAAAGUGAUGAAAAUUUUGGUAGCCUGACUUUUUUCCCCAAUGUAAAUCUGAUGCCUAUCAUCUUUUACGUAAUGCUUAAUGUAUUCCAAUUUCAAUGUGAAGUCCAUUUGUCUUUAACCAAGCUUAAGCGCCAUUUUUAUGUUUAGAUGCAUCUGUUUGUACUAUAAAUAUCAAUUUUCACUAGUGCUUCUAUAGAGAUGAAUCAUCUAAUAACAUAAGUGUCUUUGGUCUAACAAUUUUAACGACAUAUAUUCAAAAGUUUCGUCUUGGCAAUUUAAUCUGUUGGAAGUAAGUAGUUUGUUCUCAUCUUUUUCUUCUUUUAUUCAUGUUUUUAAAAAUCUUGUCGUACCAAGGAUUGAUUUAGAGGCUUGUUGAGAGAAGAAGAAGAAGAAGAAGAAGAAGGGUUACAAAAAGGCGGUGAACAACUUGACAAUGAAAUUCAGGGAAAAAGCUAAAGUGAUAGCAGGGAAGGCAUUCAAGAGGUUUGCUAUGGAGUUGAGUGUCAUUUUGUAACUGCUUCUGUGAUAAAGAUGAAUUCGGGGCAAAAGAUAUUCCUGUAUUUCUUGAUUGUAUUGGUUUGAAAAUUCAGGCCACCCAAAAUCAUGGAUCAAUAACAUAAUUGCAUUGAAAUAGUGUUGAACCUUUAAUUAGGUAAUGACAAGGAAUGUUGAUGAAAUUCAUCCAUUGCAAGUAUAGGUGUCUUGAGGUUGAUUUGAUGGCUUCUAUAAGAGAAAGUUGUUUAAUUUAAUGUGCGAUUUGGGUAAAAUGUCAUAUUGACAUAAUAGUAGUUAAGUUGAUAAUUGAUUCUAGUAGAUUUUUGUGUUUGAACAUGGGAUCAACAAUAUGGG
rnacentral:lncRNA from 1 species